CAAUAGCGUAUAUUUAAGUUGCUGCAGUUAAAAAGCUCGUAGUUGGAUUUCGGGUGGGAAUGGCCGGUCCGCCGUUUCGGUGCGCACUUGCUACGCCCACCUUGCUGCCGGGGACGUGCUCUUGAGUUCACGCUCGGGACACGGAGUCGGCGAGGUUACUUUGAGUAAAUUAGAGUGUUCAAAGCAGGCCUACGCUCUGAAUACAUUAGCAUGGAAUAACACGAUAGGACUCUGGCCUAUCUUGUUGGUCUGUAGGACCGGAGUAAUGAUUAAGAGGGACAGUCGGGGGCACUCGUAUUUCAUUGUCAGAGGUGAAAUUCUUGGAUUUAUGAAAGACGAACUACUGCGAAAGCAUUUGCCAAGGAUGUUUUCAUUAA
rnacentral:rRNA from 1 species